ACUCCAGUAGUUUGCUUUAAAGUUGUUGCGUUUAAAACGCUCGUAGUUGGAUCAUGCAACAGUGUACGGUAAUCUAUACACUCGGUGGGAAUAUUCUGAGUGUUCAUCGAAAGAUGGGGCUCGAAGUCCCGCCGAUGUUAGAUAUAAAAGCUGGACACUGUUAAUUGCACGUGAGAUGGAUUGUUGACCUUUGGUGCGUCGGUAAUCCUGUCUUGCGGAGUGUGCCUUGAAUAAAACAGAGUGCUUAAAGCAGGUUUACGCCUGAAUGUUAUAGCAUGGAACGAACAAUAGUGUAUUAGUGCAUGAUUUCGGGCAGCGAUCGAUCUAUGGUUUGUUGCUGUCGGGGAGGUGCACAUCACCCACCAAAAUAUGGCUGUUGGUUCCAUAUACGGUGAUGAUUAAAAGGAGCGGUUGGGGGCAUCGGUAUUUGGCCGCGAGAGGUGAAAUUCUUGGACCGGCCAAGGACUAACAAAUGCAAAGGCACCUGUCUAGACCGUAUCCAUUAAUCAAGAACGAAAGUGGGAGGUUCGAAGACGAUCAGAUACCGUCCUAGUUCCCACUGUAAACUAUGCCGACCUGGGAUCAGUUUAGAGAUGCUACAAGCUCUAAAUUGGUCCCCCUGGGAAACCUCAAGUUUUUCGGUUACGGGGAGAGUAUGGUCGCAAGGCUGAAACUUAAAGGAAUUGACGGAAGGGCACCACCAGGGGUGGAGCCUGCGGCUUAAUUUGACUCAACACGGGA
rnacentral:rRNA from 1 species